rnacentral:rRNA from 1 species
ACUAAUGUCGGUUUCACUCCCAACCCAAUGUGAACGUUACCAAACUGUUGCCUCGGCGGGAUCUCUGCCCCGGGUGCGUCGCAGCCCCGGACCAAGGCGCCCGCCGGAGGACCAACCAAAACUCUUAUUGUAUACCCCCUCGCGGGUUUUUUUUAUAAUCUGAGCCUUCUCGGCGCCUCUCGUAGGCGUUUCGAAAAUGAAUCAAAACUUUCAACAACGGAUCUCUUGGUUCUGGCAUCGAUGAAGAACGCAGCGAAAUGCGAUAAGUAAUGUGAAUUGCAGAAUUCAGUGAAUCAUCGAAUCUUUGAACGCACAUUGCGCCCGCCAGUAUUCUGGCGGGCAUGCCUGUCCGAGCGUCAUUUCAACCCUCGAACCCCUCCGGGGGGUCGGCGUUGGGGAUCGGCCCUGCCUUGGCGGUGGCCGUCUCCGAAAUACAGUGGCGGUCUCGCCGCAGCCUCUCCUGCGCAGUAGUUUGCACACUCGCAUCGGGAGCGCGGCGCGUCCACAGCCGUUAAACACCCAACUUCUGAAAUGUUGACCUCGGAUCAGGUAGGAAUACCCGCUGAACUUAAGCAUAUCAAAGGGGGGAGGGGGAAA